rnacentral:rRNA from 1 species
AACCUUUGACAUGGUGGUCGCGGAUCGUGGAGACACUUUCCUUCAGUUCGGCUGGACCACACAC